rnacentral:rRNA from 1 species
AGAGUUUGAUCCUGGCUCAGAAUCAACGCUGGCGGCGCGCUUAACACAUGCAAGUCGCACGAGAAAGGGAGCAAUCCUAAGUAAAGUGGCGCACGGGUGAGUAACACGUGGAUCAUCUACCUUUUAGUGGGGAAUACCUCUGGGAAACCGGAGACAAUACCGCAUAAGCCCGCAAGGGGAAAGCCGAAAGGCGCUGAAAGAGGAGUCCGCGGCCGAUUAGCUAGUUGGCGGGGUAAUGGCCCACCAAGGCGAAGAUCGGUAGCCGGCCUGAGAGGGCACACGGCCACACUGGCACUGAAACACGGGCCAGACUCCUACGGGAGGCAGCAGUGGGGAAUCUUGCACAAUGGGCGAAAGCCUGAUGCAGCGACGCCGCGUGAGCGAUGAAGCCCUUCGGGGUGUAAAGCUCUUUCGACGGGAACGAUAAUGACGGUACCCGGAGAAGAAGCUGCGGCUAACUACGUGCCAGCAGCCGCGGUAAUACGUAGGCAGCGAGCGUUGUUCGGAAUUACUGGGCGUAAAGAGUGUGUAGGCGGUGCUCCCAGUCUGUUGUGAAAUCUCCCGGCUUAACUGGGAGGGUGCAGCGGAAACUAGAGUGCUAGAGGGUGGGAGAGGUAAGCGGAAUUCCUGGUGUAGCGGUGAAAUGCGUAGAUAUCAGGAGGAACACCUGUGGUGUAGACAGCUUACUGGACCACUUCUGACGCUGAGACACGAAAGCGUGGGUAGCAAACAGGAUUAGAUACCCUGGUAGUCCACGCCCUAAACGAUGCAUACUUGGUGUGAGCGAUUCAUUUCGUUCGUGCCGGAGCUAACGCGUUAAGUAUGCCGCCUGGGGAGUACGGUCGCAAGGCUGAAACUCAAAGGAAUUGACGG